GGACCAGUGGUGUAGUGGUAACACAUUCCAUCUAGACGUGAAAAGGAGUGGUUCGAUUCCCUCCCGGUCCA
rnacentral:tRNA from 1 species